rnacentral:rRNA from 1 species
CCUACGGGUGGCAGCAGUGAGGAAUAUUGGUCAAUGGACGAGAGUCUGAACCAGCCAAGUAGCGUGAAGGAUGACUGCCCUACGGGUUGUAAACUUCUUUUAUAAGGGAAUAAAACGAGGCACGUGUGCCUUUGUGCAUGUACUUUAUGAAUAAGGAUCGGCUAACUCCGUGCCAGCAGCCGCGGUAAUACGGAGGAUGCGAGCGUUAUCCGGAUUUAUUGGGUUUAAAGGGUGCGUAGGCGGGCGUUGAAGCCGGCGGUAAAAUGUCGGGGCUCAACCCCGGCCUGCCGUCGAAACUGGGUGCCUUGAGUGGGCGAAGGGUAGGCGGAAUGCGUGGUGUAGCGGUGAAAUGCAUAGAUAUCACGCAGAACCCCGAUUGCGAAGGCAGCAUACCGGCGCCCUACUGACGCUGAGGCACGAAAGUGCGGGUAUCGAACAGGAUUAGAUACCCGAGUAGUC